rnacentral:piRNA from 1 species
UCAAGCUUCCAUAUCUUCUAA